AUUCAAAUUGUGUUGAAAAGCUAAGUUUGGGGUAAAAACCCCAAAAGCUCCCAAAGCCCAAGAAAGUGCGAGAACAAAAAGAAAAAUGAUGAAUCGAGAGAAAGAAAGAAAAAAAAAGAGAAAAAUUUAUAACUCGAAGAUUCAAAAAGAAGCACGAAAAAGGGCAUUUAGUGAAGAAAAAAAUAAGAAAAGAAAAUUAAGCAAAUAAAAGAAACAAACAC
rnacentral:lncRNA from 1 species